rnacentral:misc_RNA from 1 species
GUGAGUCAUCGAAUCUUUGAACGCACAUUGCGCCCGUCAGUAUUCUGGCGGGCAUGCCUGUUCGAGCGUCAUUACGCCCCUCAAGUCCCCUGUGGACUUGGUGUUGGGGAUCGGCGAGGCUGGUUUUCCAGCGCAGCCGUCCCUCAAAUCAAUUGGCGGUCUCGCCGUGGCCCUCCUCUGCGCAGUAGUAAAACACUCGCAACAGGAGCCCGGCGCGGUCCACUGCCGUAAAACCCCCCAACUUUUUAUAGUUGACCUCGAAUCAGGUAGGACUACCCGCUGAACUUAAGCAUAUCAAUAAGCGGAGGA